rnacentral:lncRNA from 1 species
UCCACUGCUAUUAUUAAUGUAGUUAUUGUUAUUGUUGCAGUGUUGCUGUAUAUUUUACACUAUUGUAAUUGUUUGUUUUUGUUGACAUAGUUCGCUUUAAUGGAACAGUCCGAGUGAGAAUAACAAUUAAUCAAACUGAUACUAUCAAAAAACAGGUACAUUUUAAUUUUAAUUUUAGGGAAUUCAAAUUCGCUGAAAUUGUGAUGAAAAUGAUUAACAUGUAUAGUAAGUUAAUGUGACACCUGAACACACACUAUAUGUAAUAUUGAUGCUAAAAUGUCCUUUUCAUCUCAGCUUACAGAUGGUUUUAAACAAUUACAUGGGUUUGAGUGCCUCAAUGUGUCUGGACCAAGGUAAUGAAAUCUAAAUGUAUUGGAUGUAUUUUCUCAUUGCUUAAUAUUUGGCAGAGUGCUUGUUUUUCUCCCCAAAGGUGCAACAUCAAUUUCUGAUUUUGUCUCCCUUUCACCCAUUGGCAACUCAAUACGGACACAUAAGGGAUGAUGGACAAAUUGUUGAUUUCAAAGUGGAUCUCAGUGUCAUAUUUCUGACUGAUACACUUGCAAAAAUAAUAGCUGACCUGGAACCUACUGUUGGCAAAAUAGCUGUUGAAACAUCAGGUAAAUGCCCUGCCCCUUCCAAUACAGUACAGCCAUUUCACGUAGUGAUAUUAAGACCAUGAGUAGAUCUGCCAAAAACACCGGGGCAUUAGGCUCAGAUAAGUCACACGAGAAAAUAUUAUAUACAGUAUAUAUAUAUUUUUUUUUAAAUGGAGUCUCUGCACACUCUAAUCAGUUGUAGUUUCAGAGUUUAACUUGCUAAGCUUUCGAUACUAUGAUGACCUUUGCCGGACCAUACAAACAAGUGCAGAGACAGUUUCAUACUGAGAAAUGUGGCAAGGAUUAUGGUAUGAAAUAGAUUGUUAUGUUGGAAAUUAUUAUGUAAAGCGUGUAAGGAUGUAUUGUAUUAUUUAUUGCAUUGAUACUGUAUGUUUUUGCUUUUCCACAGGACUCGUGAGCAUUCAGUAUCCAAUGGACACAGUGAAAUUCUCCUCAACACCGACGCUAAACUGCAGAUUUGAAGAGAAAACAAACGGCUCUUGGAACUGGAACCUGUUAAAAGGAAAUAAGACAUUUGAUCUGAACACUGGAAGCAGCAUAACAGUCUCAUUACCCAAUGAAACGCCACACAAUUGUACCACAGUCCAAAUUAUAAAGUUGUCAGGGAACUGGGCAGGGAUUUAUAAGUGUGGAUUUUCCAAAGGGUCCAUUGUGCACGCAGCCACUGCAGAGUUGAAGGUAGCCCUGCUACCAGAUAAGAUCACCAUGACGAUUGACCCACUGACUGUAGAAUGCCAAGAUGCAGUGCCUCCUGUGACAGUCACCGCAACCAUCGAUAACAGCACAGAGCAAUACACGGUCACUUGGUCAUACCAAAAUAAUCUCCAAACUCCAAAUCUCCAAACUAAACCAGGUACCAGGAACUCUUAGUCUUGUGUCUUGAACUAUGUAUCACCUUGUUUAUUUUUGUGCUCAAAAUGAUUAAAGUUGCAGUAACUUGAUAAUAAAUAAGCAGUUGCUUAUCAACAGAUAGUUUGUUGAUAGUACGACCAUCUGUAGAGCAUCUCCAGAUGGAAAAUCUUCACUAUCCAAAUAAAGUGUGACCACAUUCUAUUCUAGUACCACCAGCGGGGAUAGCCUACACCACAGUGAUAUCUAUAAAUUGCAGUCCAUCAAGCUCACCCCAUGUUGUCAUCGUCAGCUUUACAAAUCAGAUGGAUGAGAUCAAGAAAGCAAGCAUAACUAUCCCAGUGAUAUAUGGUAUGUUCAGAUUGUAUGAGUCCAUACAAAAAAGGGGAAAAAGGAAAAGCCAUUCCAGUUAAUUACUAUCCCUCAAAUGUGUGAAAUGAUGUGAUUGGUUAAAGUCCCCUUACAUCCAGAAGGGAUGAAGAAGAUGAGGCUUAAUUCCUAUUAAUACUCUUUACUGCUGUUUAUAUUCAGCUCAUGACAGGAACCAGGCUUGUCCUGAAGACAGUAACGUUUGGCCAAAAACCCCAAAAGGUGUAACUGUCACCAUCCGAAAAUGUGAGGUGAAUAGAGUUGGGUACAAAGAGCGGACAUGCAAGGGGCCUGAGUGGAUGGAGGUGCUGGAUAACUGUGUCAAUGAGGAGCUCAACAAAGUUGUCAAUGCAGCAGCAGUGAGUAUGACCUUUCACCUUCUGCACUCACACAACUCUUAUACUGCGAAGUUGAUAUGGAACGUUGGUAAUGUUUCGGUGAAUGCCUACAUUUUCUGUAAAAGUGCAUUCCUGACAUUUAGUAAUAUGACAACACUACUCACGGGUUGGUCAUAUGAUAUAUCACAUUCUUCAACUACACAUCCAGCCAAUGGAAUGCUGUGUGACUUGUGUUGAAAUACUCUGGGCCUGUAGAAUGUGUUGGUAUAGGAAACCAAGUUACUAUUCUAUGUUUGUUUUUACAUCACAGAAUUUUAAAGAGGGACUUGGAGCUACUCUUCAGGUUGCUAUUCAAAUCUUUUCUGAUUUGAAGAAGAGCAUGGUUGCUGACUCAGUUGCUGAUCUGAGUGCAUCCAUCAAUGUGCUGGAUACCAUGUCGAGUGCAUCAGAAACCAUCACCCUGGAUAACUCCAUUUUAGAUGUGAGCCAUACCCCAAAUAACUGUUAUACAGUCGUGUACAGUAUAUCUCAUACAGAAACAUAAAUGUAUAUUUAUUUUUCAGACAU